ensembl:lncRNA
AGAAAAUCCAGACAGACACAGGCUAAGACACAGAGGACCAUCUGAAGACACAAGGAGAAGCCAGCCAUCUACAAGCCAAGCCAGAGGCCUCAGAAGAAAUCCACCCUGCAGCCACCUUGAUCUGAGAUCUCCAGCCUCUCAAACAAACAAUGAAUUUCUGCUGUUUAAGCCACCCAGUUUGUGGUACUUUGUCAUGGCAGCCCUAGCUUCAUUUACCGAAGGACAAGCUAUCCCAGGAAUAUGAAGUACUUUCCUGUCACACUGAGACGGAACGACCACCCUAAAUAAGCGAGAGAACUGCGGCCGCGACAGUAACCGCGGAGCAGAAACUACCAACAAGACUCCCCCAGACCCAGGAAGCUGGGCAGCGGCUCUAGACCGACAAGCGCCAAUGCACUUACAGCUUUUAAUCUUCCAGACACCCCUGAGACAGUCAUCAUUCCCAUUUUACUGAUGACAAAACUGGGGCACACGAAAGUUAUGUCACUUGUCCAAGGCCACGCGGUAAAGGAUUACAAGCGGGCCAGGAGGCCCAGUGAGCGGCGGCGCGGGCCGAGCCUGCAGACUCCGCUAACGCGGCGGCGGGCAGGGCCGGAAAGGAGGCCGCGGCGGGACGGCCCUUCCCUCCCGCCACAGGCACGGCUGCCCUUCUCCAGCUUCCCUCGUGGAGUCACAAACGCUGGCGCACAGCUAACGCCGCCGAGCGCCGGCCCCUACGCCUCGAGGCAGGCUGAGGAGGAAACCCCUACUCCUUUUCCGCGGGUGAAAACACGGGCCAGACGGGCCAAAUGACCUAAGCAAGGUCACAGUGACUAGGGGGAAACGCAGCGGGAAGUGGGCCGAGGCCGGCCGCCUCCGCAGCCCGGUAGGUUCCUCGAGGCCCCCGCAGCCCACUUGGCUCCUGGGGGCCCCGCCGCCAGCCCGCCGCCCUCCUGAGGUCGCGGUGGGGGCGUACAGGGGUCGACGCAGCCGAGAGGUCCGAGGUUCCUCGACCACAGAGAUGCAGUCACGACUCAGCUCCACGGCAGACUGAGAGCAGGGAGCGGGAGGUGGCGGUUAUGGUUCGGGCGUCCCCGAACGAAGGACGCAACACAGCUCACCUUAACACCGGCGUCCUUCCUGACUGACGGAGAAAUGGACGACUCUGCGGCAGCGCGCAGGCGCAGAAGGAGAGCGAACGCAGAGGACCCAGCAACGGUAGCCGAAAGAGCUCAAGAGACCUGCAGCGCGCUUCACACCAGUCAGCUGAAGUUCACCACUAGUUAGCUUGCCUGGGUGACCUUCAAUUUAGGUUACCUUCUGAGUGGGUUUCCUUAGUAUGUUGGAGAAAUUAAUCUUGCUCAUAUACAGAAUUAAUAUGAAUUUAUUAGAGAAUUCGAAGGUAUUUAAUAUGUGAAUUAAAAAAAAAUAAUUCUCUACAAAUAGAAUACAAAUCAUCCUGGGCUCAUAGAUUGCCGGAACCAUGUGCACAAGCUGACAUUUUCAUUAUAACUACCCUUAUGAGAAUAACCGCUUGGUUUGGGUAAAGGGUGAAUAAGACAGCAGAGUUCUAGGAGCUCAGAGCCCAGCAGAUGAGACGGACGUAAACAGAUGACUACAAAUCCCAAGCGGUGGGUGCCACCCCAGAGACCUGACCCAGCUACUGCAGAAGCAAUUACCUACCUGGCAGAGUUGAGCAAGUGUUGAUGGAAGUAUUUGAUGAGAUUUUUAGUAAAAGACAAGUGUUUUAAAGGAAGACAACUGGAAGUUUAUGGAAAGUGGUAUGUAAGGUGACAAGACAUUUUUCACAUAUUGAGGUAUAUGGGGUAGCUAUUUGGGUUCAAAACUGAUUUAGAUUGAACUAAAGGAGCCUAAUUUAUGACCUAUCAAACAUACGUUGUACAUCUGCUUUAACCAUUUAAGAAUGCACUCUCUCAAAAUAAGAAUGCAUACUUCCCCUCCUCUGCCCUAUAGGUAACGCCCAUAUUAGUCCUUUUCCGAGCCUCAGGGUCCUGUUGAUCUGCUAAUUUGCAACUGAAUACCUCUUAGAAACUUUGAUGAAUAUGCUUCCUGGGUGUAUUUAAUAUAUAUUCUUUGUUCUAAAAAGGUAUAAGACUACUGAAAAUGGUGCUUCUCUGGAACACUUUCUUCCUUUGUGGAAACUGUCUUCCUGGAUUAUAAUCCACACCCUGGCUCAAGGAAAACUCACUCUUUCCCUCUUAUCUAUAGAAUGGUUAUUGGUUAUUUUGUGUCAAUAGGGGCUUGGUUAUCAUUGAAAUAACCUAGAUUUAUAUGAUGUUGAGUCAACUCAGCAAGCACUGUGGAAGGUACACUGGGACACAAAAGAUAGUGAUAUUGAUUCAACUUAUAUUGAUUAAGCAUUUACUAUGUACGAGGCUCUGCUAUAUAGUAGGACAGAUCUUCAAGGAAGUGUGUUCUUGUCAGGAAGUCUUUAUCCUCAACUUGUCAACACUCUGGGAAGUGAAAACUUUCAGCCACACAGAAAAGGUGCUAAUUGAGGGCCAAAGUGGGUUUGUACCUCGACAACGCUUUUUUCAGCCCUCUUAACAAGGGCCUACCCAGCUAAAAAUCUUUACAUGGGAUUUGCUCCCAUUUCCUUUCCAUCCCCUCUCCCAUGAUUGACCCAGAGAACAAGCAGUAAAU